GCUAGGUUAUCGGCUAGUCGCCCGCCAUCCGGCGGGAGGAAAGUCCGGGCAGCAUAGGGAAGGACAGUUGUUAACGACAACCAAGAGUAAUCUUAGGGAAAGUGCCACAGAAACAAUACUUCCUGUUUUUACAGGUAAAGGUGAAAAGAGUGAGGUAAGAGCUCACAGUUAUCUAUGGUGACAUAGAGAAGCGGUAAACCCUGUCUGCUGCAAGGUAGCAUAUCUUUUUCUUCGGAAUAGUUUCUCGCUAUGAUAUGCGCGCUAUAAUCCGCAUGACUUCACAGGCGACUGUGGAGCUAGAUAGAUGGCUAGCAACAACAGAACCCGGCUUAUAGAUAGCCAGCAUAU
rnacentral:RNase_P_RNA from 1 species